rnacentral:tRNA from 2 species
GCCUCCGUAGCUCAGGGGUAGAGCGCUUUCUUGGUAAGAAAGAGGGCAUGGGUUCAAAUCCCAUCGGAGGCU